rnacentral:rRNA from 1 species
GACGAACGCUGGCGGCGUGCCUAAUACAUGCAAGUCGAGCGAAUCUUUGGGAGCUUGCUCCCAAAGAUUAGCGGCGGACGGGUGAGUAACACGUGGGCAACCUGCCUAUAAGACUGGGAUAACUUCGGGAAACCGGAGCUAAUACCGGAUAAUUCAUAUCUACUCAUGUAGAUAGGCUGAAAGACGGUUUCGGCUGUCACUUAUAGAUGGGCCCGCGGCGCAUUAGCUAGUUGGUGAGGUAAUGGCUCACCAAGGCAACGAUGCGUAGCCGACCUGAGAGGGUGAUCGGCCACACUGGGACUGAGACACGGCCCAGACUCCUACGGGAGGCAGCAGUAGGGAAUCUUCCGCAAUGGACGAAAGUCUGACGGAGCAACGCCGCGUGAGUGAUGAAGGUUUUCGGAUCGUAAAACUCUGUUGUUAGGGAAGAAUAAGUACCAGAGUAACUGCUGGUACCUUGACGGUACCUAACCAGAAAGCCACGGCUAACUACGUGCCAGCAGCCGCCGUAA